rnacentral:rRNA from 1 species
UACAGAGGGUGCGAGCGUUAAUCGGAUUUACUGGGCGUAAAGCGUGCGUAGGCGGUUGGGUAAGUCGGAUGUGAAAGCCCUGGGCUUAACCUGGGAAUGCCAUUCGAUACUGCCCGACUCGAGUUCGGUAGAGGGCGGUGGAACUCCAGGUGUAGCGGUGAAAUGCGUAGAUAUCUGGAAGAACACCAAUGGCGAAGGCAACCGCCUGGGCCUGAACUGACGCUGAGGCACGAAAGCGUGGGGAGCAAACAGGG